rnacentral:rRNA from 1 species
CCUACGGGAGGCAGCAGUGGGGGAUAUUGCACAAUGGGGUAAACCCUGAUGCAGCGACGCCGCGUGUGGGAAGACGGUCCUCUGGAUUGUAAACCACUGUCCCCAGGGACGAAGAUGACGGUACCUGGGGAGGAAGCUCCGGCUAACUACGUGCCAGCAGCCGCGGUAAUACGUAGGGAGCAAGCGUUGUCCGGAAUUACUGGGUGUAAAGGGAGCGUAGGCGGGAUGGCAAGUUGGGUAUUAAAUCUACCGGCUCAACUGGUAGUCGCACUCAAAACUGCUAUUCUUGAGUGAAGUAGAGGCAGGCGGAAUUCCGAGUGGAGGGGUGAAAUGCGUAGAUGUUAGGAGGAACAACAGUGGCGAAGGCGGCCUGCUGGGCUUUUACUGACGCUGAGGCUCGAAAGUGUGGGGAGCAAACAGGAUUAGAUACCCUUGUAGUC